CGUUAACGUCAACCCUGGCUACGGCAAACCCGGCGGGACCACGGUUGGCGUCGGGAAGGGUGGCGUCGGCGUUAAUGUCAAUCCCGGCAAGCCCAGUGGCACCACGGUCGGCGUUGGCAAGGGCGGAGUAGGCGUCAACGUCAAUCCUGGCUACGGCAAGCCCGGUGGCACCACCGUCGGCGUCGGCAAGGGCGGAGUGGGCGUCAACGUCAGUCCUGGCAAGCCGGGUGGCACCACCGUUGGUGUUGGCAAAGGCGGCGUCGGUGUCGGCGUGAACCCCGGCUACGGCAAGCCGGGCGGCACCACGGUCGGCGUCGGGAAGGGCGGGGUUGGCGUCAACGUGAAGCCCCGCGGGAAGCCCGUCCACGUCAACGUCUCUCCUUUCCGGUACAACUACGCCGCAACGGA
rnacentral:lncRNA from 1 species